ACGAACGCUGGCGGCAUGCCUAAUACAUGCAAGUCGAGCGGACUUGAAGAGAAGCUUGCUUCUCUGAUAGUUAGCGGCGGACGGGUGAGUAACACGUAGGCAACCUGCCCUCAAGUUUGGGACAACUACCGGAAACGGUAGCUAAUACCGAAUAGUUGUUUUCUUCUCCUGAAGAGAACUGGAAAGACGGAGCAAUCUGUCACUUGGGGAUGGGCCUGCGGCGCAUUAGCUAGUUGGUGGGGUAACGGCUCACCAAGGCGACGAUGCGUAGCCG
rnacentral:rRNA from 1 species